rnacentral:rRNA from 1 species
GACGAACGCUGGCGGCGUGCCUAAUACAUGCAAGUCGAGCGGACUGAUUAAGAGCUUGCUCUUAUGACGUUAGCGGCGGACGGGUGAGUAACACGUGGGCAACCUGCCCUGUAGAUCGGGAUAACACCGAGAAAUCGGUGCUAAUACCGGGUAAUAUCUGAGAUCACAUGAUCUUAGGUUAAAAGAUGGCUCCGGCUAUCACUACAGGAUGGGCCCGCGGCGCAUUAGCUAGUUGGUAAGGUAAUGGUUUACCAAGGCGACGAUGCGUAGCCGACCUGAGAGGGUGAUCGGCCACACUGGGACUGAGACACGGCCCAGACUCCUACGGGAGGCAGCAGUAGGGAAUCUUCCGCAAUGAACGAAAGUCUGACGGAGCAACGCCGCGUGAGUGAUGAAGGGUUUCGGCUCGUAAAGCUCUGUUGUUAGGGAAGAAACAGUACCGAACGAACUAGGUCGGUACCUUGACGGUACCUAACCAGAAAGCCACGGCUAACUACGUG